GCGGGUUUAGCUCAGUUGGGAGAGCGUCAGACUGAAGUCAAACUUCAAUCAUCACGAUAUCUGAAGGUCAUGUGUUCGAUCCACAUAAACCGCA
rfam:Fusarium poae strain 2516 chromosome FPOA_2 Chr2, whole genome shotgun sequence.